AUUGAACGCUGGCGGCAUGCCUUACACAUGCAAGUCGAACGGCAGCACGGGUGCUUGCACCUGGUGGCGAGUGGCGAACGGGUGAGUAAUACAUCGGAACGUACCUUAUCGUGGGGGAUAACGCAGCGAAAGCUGUGCUAAUACCGCAUACGCCCUGAGGGGGAAAGCGGGGGAUCGCAAGACCUCGCGCGAUUAGAGCGGCCGAUGCCUGAUUAGCUAGUUGGUGGGGUAAAAGCCCACCAAGGCGACGAUCAGUAGCUGGUCUGAGAGGACGAUCAGCCACACUGGGACUGAGACACGGCCCAGACUCCUACGGGAGGCAGCAGUGGGGAAUUUUGGACAAUGGGGGCAACCCUGAUCCAGCAAUGCCGCGUGAGUGAAGAAGGCCUUCGGGUUGUAAAGCUCUUUUGUCAGGGAAGAAACACCGGCUCUAACACAGUCCGGGAAUGACGGUACCUGAAGAAUAAGCACCGGCUAACUACGUGCCAGCCGCCGCCGUAA
rnacentral:rRNA from 1 species